GACGAACGCUGGCGGCGUGCCUAACACAUGCAAGUCGAACGGAAAGGCCCUGCUUUUGUGGGGUGCUCGAUUGGCGAACGGGUGAGUAACACGUGAGUAACCUGCCCUUGACUUUGGGAUAACUUCAGGAAACAGGGGCUAAUAUCGGAGAGGAUAUCCUGCUGCGUUGGGGGCGUUGGAAAGUUUCGGCUGUUGGGGAUGGACUAGCGGCUUAUCAGCUAGUUGGUCGGGUAGGUGCUUACCAAGGCUUUGAAGGGUAGCCGGCAUGAGAGGGUGGACGGGCUCCAUAGGACUAAGAGAGGGAGCAGUCUCGAACGGGGGGCAACAGGCGGAAGUAUUGCACAGUGAGCGGAAGUCGGAGGAGGAGGCGCCGCGUUCGUAAAGACGGUUUUUGGGUUAAGAACCGCUUUCGCCUGAGACGAAGCGUGAGUGACGGUAAUGAAUAAAGAAGCACCGGCUAACUACGUG
rnacentral:rRNA from 1 species